CCUUGGAUGGUGUAAACUUCCCAAAAUAACGUGUAUGGUGUAAUGGUGUAUGGCAUAUGGUGCAAUGGUAGAAGGUGUAUGGUGCUAUGGUGUAUGGUGUAAGGGGAAUGGUGUAAUGGUGUAUGAGGAAUGGUGUGAUUGUGUAACGUGCGAUCGGGAAUGGUGUGAAUGAAUGGUGUACGACAUUUCAUUGGUUGAAACCGAAGUUCAUUUUAUUUUAAUUUUUCGGAUUGUAAACAUAAACAAUAAUAAUAAUCCUAUUGUUCUUUUUUUCCCAGUAAAGCAAAUUACUUUACUCGUUAGACUCUAUGUCAUAUAUAUUUAAUAUACACAUAUUAAAAAAUCUUUUUUUUUCAUAUUCUUAUUUACAUUAAACAAUGGCUUUAAAAUUACACACUUGUGAUCACAUGCAGUUAUCAUAAAAGAAAGGAUUUUAUUUAAACUAGAAGGCGGAUAGAAAGGUUAUCCACGCAUCGGAACAGUAUUUUUAUAUCACGGGUUAUCAACAUCAUUUUUAAAGUUGCUUCGUUCCCCACUUUUGACAGUCUCUUUAUAAAUAUCUUAUCGUCAUUCACCUAUGUUUGCCUUGGAUUUACGAUUCUGUUUUCCAAAAAAUGUUCAAAGGAAAAUUGUACAGUGUUAUUGCACAUAAGGUGUUGUAUAAUUAUGAACAAUCUCGUCAAUUUCGUUAGAUUUGUCUUUACGGAUUAUAAAUGAUAUCUUGAACGUCCGAAAAAAUAUACUUAUGUGAAACAGAAUGAAAUAUUUGCCACUUGAUAUUUAGCCACCAACAAAAUCAACCAACCGACAUAAUAUACUAACAGUAUACUUUUCCUAGAAGAGAACUUCUCAUACUUUUCAUUAUAAAGUACAAAUGAAAUCUGUCAUGUCAGUCACACUGUUGGAUGAUGAGGUGGAAUAGUUUUAUUAUACAAACCAUCCUGAACUACUGAGUUUAAAUCAUCACACCUCAGCAAGCACGACUAAUUUAUGCGCAGACCAACCCAUCACACAAUAGCCCAAAAGGAAUCUGUGAUGUACCCGUCCAUAUUCAGAAGUCAUGGAAGUGGGAAAUACAGAUACUGAUACUGACUUUAGUGACAGUUUUAUAUAACGAAUACAGAGAUGAAAUGCUGGCACUCUAAAUUAAAGCGGACAAGAUUUUGUUAUCAUUGUAUUGCAAUGUAGCUGUCAUUUGUAUUAUACAAUCCAUCCUGACAUCAAAAUAUUGCUGAUUUACUAUGCGGCUGCCGCUAUAUAGAUUUACAUAAUAAAGUGCAAAUAUGGUCA